rnacentral:rRNA from 1 species
GAUGAACGCUAGCGGGAGGCCUAACACAUGCAAGCCGAGCGGUAUUUGUUCUUCGGAACAGAGAGAGCGGCGCACGGGUGCGGAACACGUGUGCAACCUGCCUUUAUCUGGGGGAUAGCCUUUCGAAAGGAAGAUUAAUACCCCAUAAUAUAUUGUGUGGCAUCACUUGAUAUUGAAAACUCCGGUGGAUAGAGAUGGGCACGCGCAAGAUUAGAUAGUUGGUGAGGUAACGGCUCACCAAGUCAAUGAUCUUUAGGGGGCCUGAGAGGGUGAUCCCCCACACUGGUACUGAGACACGGACCAGACUCCUACGGGAGGCAGCAGUGAGGAAUAUUGGACAAUGGGUUAGCGCCUGAUCCAGCCAUCCCGCGUGAAGGACGACGGCCCUAUGGGUUGUAAACUUCUUUUGUAUAGGGAUAAACCUACUCUCGUGAGAGUAGCUGAAGGUACUAUACGAAUAAGCACCGGCUAACUCCGUG